UACAGAGGGUGCGAGCGUUGUUCGGAAUUAUUGGGCGUAAAGGGCGCGUAGGCGGCGCGGUAAGUCACCUGUGAAAUCUCCCGGCUCAACUGGGAGCUUGCAGGCGAAACUGCCGUGCUCGAGUAUGGGAGAGGUGCGUGGAAUUCCUGGUGUAGCGGUGAAAUGCGUAGAUAUCAGGAGGAACACCUGUGGCGAAAGCGGCGCACUGGACCAUAACUGACGCUGAGGCGCGAAAGCUAGGGGAGCAAACAGG
rnacentral:rRNA from 1 species